rnacentral:rRNA from 1 species
CCUACGGGGGGCAGCAGUGAGGAAUAUUGGUCAAUGAACGAGAGUCUGAACCAGCCAAGUAGCGUGAAGGAUGACUGCCCUAUGGGUUGUAAACUUCUUUUAUAUGGGAAUAAAAUGUUCCACGUGUGGGAUUUUGUAUGUACCAUAUGAAUAAGGAUCGGCUAACUCCGUGCCAGCAGCCGCGGUAAUACGGAGGAUCCGAGCGUUAUCCGGAUUUAUUGGGUUUAAAGGGAGCGUAGGUGGAUUGUUAAGUCAGUUGUGAAAGUUUGCGGCUCAACCGUAAAAUUGCAGUUGAAACUGGCAGUCUUGAGUACAGUAGAGGUGGGCGGAAUUCGUGGUGUAGCGGUGAAAUGCUUAGAUAUCACGAAGAACUCCGAUUGCGAAGGCAGUUCACUGGACUGCAACUGACACUGAGGCUCGAAAGUGUGGGUAUCAAACAGGAUUAGAUACCCGGGUAGUC